rnacentral:rRNA from 1 species
GACGAACCCGUGCGAACGUUGUUCGGAAUCACUGGGCUUAAAGGGCGCGUAGGCGGACGAUCAAGUCAGGGGUGAAAGCCCACGGCUCAACCGUGGAAGUGCCUCUGAUACUGAUCGUCUCGAGGGAGGUAGGGGCGUGCGGAACUUCCGGUGGAGCGGUGAAAUGCGUAGAUAUCGGAAGGAACACCGGUGGCGAAAGCGGCGCGCUGGAUCUCUACUGACGCUGAGGCGCGAAAGCCAGGGGAGCAAACGGGAUUAGAUACCCUGGUAGU